GUGGGGAAUUUUGGACAAUGGGGGAAACCCUGAUCCAGCCAUGCCGCGUGCGGGAAGAAGGCCUUCGGGUUGUAAACCGCUUUUGUCAGGGAAGAAACGCUCUGGGCUAAUACCUCGGAGUAAUGACGGUACCUGAAGAAUAAGCACCGGCUAACUACGUGCCAGCAGCCGCGGUAAUACGUAGGGUGCAAGCGUUAAUCGGAAUUACUGGGCGUAAAGCGUGCGCAGGCGGUUGUGCAAGACAGAUGUGAAAUCCCCGGGCUUAACCUGGGAACUGCAUUUGUGACUGCACGGCUGGAGUGCGGCAGAGGGGGAUGGAAUUCCGCGUGUAGCAGUGAAAUGCGUAGAUAUGCGGAGGAACACCGAUGGCGAAGGCAAUCCCCUGGGCCUGCACUGACGCUCAUGCACGAAAGCGUGGGGAGCAAACAGGAUUAGAAACCCUAGUAGUCC
rnacentral:rRNA from 1 species